rnacentral:rRNA from 1 species
UGAAUACGUUCCCGGGCCUUGUACACACCGCCCGUCAAGCCAUGGAAGCCGGGGGCGCCCGAAGCCGCUGAACAAGCGUCGAAGGCGAAAUCGGUGACUGGGGCU